UGAGGAAUCUUGCGCAAUGGGCGAAAGCCUGACGCAGCGACGCCGCGUGGAGGAUGAAGGUCUUCGGAUUGUAAACUCCUGUUAAGGGUGAAGAAAGCCUCGUCAGUAAUAUGGGCGAGGUAUGACGGUAACUCUAGAGAAAGCACCGGCUAACUUCGUGCCAGCAGCCGCGGUAAUACGAGGGGUGCAAGCGUUAUUCGGAAUGAUUGGGCGUAAAGGGUGCGUAGGCGGUGCGUUAAGUCUGUUGUUAAAUUCUCUGGCCUAACUAGAGACCAGCGGCAGAAACUGGCGUGCUUGAGGGUGGGAGAGAGAAGUGGAAUUCUCGGAGUAGCGGUAAAAUGCUUAGAUCUCGAGAGGAACACCAAUGGCGAAGGCAGCUUCUUGGUCCAUUCCUGACGCUGAGGCACGAAAGCGUGGGGAGCAAACAGGAUUAGAUACCCCCGUAGUCC
rnacentral:rRNA from 1 species